GGGUAGCACCAGAUCUUGGGCUGUGUCCCUGGCACCCUGGGCUCCUGGGCCUGUGCUGUUGGAAUGGCGCUUCCGGCUGCGCGCCUCCCU
rnacentral:pre_miRNA from 1 species